CCUACGGGUGGCUGCAGUGAGGAAUAUUGGUCAAUGGGCGUAAGCCUGAACCAGCCAAGUCGCGUGAGGGAUGAAGGUUCUAUGGAUCGUAAACCUCUUUUAUAAGGGAAUAAAGUGUGGGACGUGUCCUAUUUUGUAUGUACCUUAUGAAUAAGGAUCGGCUAACUCCGUGCCAGCAGCCGCGGUAAUACGGAGGAUCCAAGCGUUAUCCGGAUUUAUUGGGUUUAAAGGGUGCGUAGGCGGCCUUUUAAGUCAGCGGUGAAAGUCUGUGGCUCAACCCUGGAAUUGCCGUUGAUACUGGGGGGCUUGAGUAUGUUUGAGGCAGGCGGAAUGCGUGGUGUAGCGGUGAAAUGCUUAGAGAUCACGCAGAACCCCGAUUGCGAAGGCAGCCUGCCAAGCCAUGACUGACGCUGAUGCACGAAAGCGUGGGGAUCAAACAGGAUUAGAUACCCCGGUAGUC
rnacentral:rRNA from 1 species